rnacentral:rRNA from 1 species
UACGUAGGGUGCGAGCGUUGUCCGGAAUUAUUGGGCGUAAAGAGCUCGUAGGCGGCUUGUCGCGUCGGAUGUGAAAGCCCGGGGCUUAACUCCGGGUCUGCAUUCGAUACGGGCAGGCUAGAGUUCGGUAGGGGAGACUGGAAUUCCUGGUGUAGCGGUGAAAUGCGCAGAUAUCAGGAGGAACACCGGUGGCGAAGGCGGGUCUCUGGGCCGAUACUGACGCUGAGGCGCGACAGCGUGGGGAGCAAACAGG